GACGAACCGUCCAAACGUUAUUCGGAAUUACUGGGCUUAAAGGGUGCGUAGGCGGCGCGGAAAGUUGGGUGUGAAAUCCCUCGGCUCAACCGAGGAACUGCGCCCAAUACUACCGUGCUUGAGGGAGAUAGAGGUGAGCGGAACUUAGGGUGGAGCGGUGAAAUGCGUUGAUAUCCUAAGGAACACCGGUGGCGAAGGCAGGUCACUGGGCCACUACUGACGCUGAGGAGCGAAAGCAUGGGGAGCGAACAGG
rnacentral:rRNA from 1 species